UAGGGAAUCUUCCACAAUGGACGCAAGUCUGAUGGAGCAACGCCGCGUGAGUGAAGAAGGUUUUCGGACCGUAAAGCUCUGUUGUUGGUGAAGAAGGAUAGAGGUAGUAACUGGCCUUUAUUUGACGGUAAUCAACCAGAAAGUCACGGCUAACUACGUGCCAGCAGCCGCGGUAAUACGUAGGUGGCAAGCGUUGUCCAGAUUUAUUGGGCGUAAAGCGAGCGCAGGCGGAAGAAUAAGUCUGAUGUGAAAGCCCUCGGCUUAACCGAGGAAUUGCAUCGGAAACUGUUUUUCUUGAGUGCAGAAGAGGAGAGUAGAACUCCAUGUGUAGCGGUGGAAUGCGUAGAUAUAUGGAAGAAUACCAGUGGCGAAGGCGGCUCUCUGGUCUGCAACUGACGCUGAGGCUCGAAAGCAUGGGUAGCGAACAGGAUUAGAUACCCUGGUAGUCCAUGCCGUAAACGAUGAGUGCUAAGUGUUGGGAGGCUUCCGCCUCUCAGUGCUGCAGCUAACGCAUUAAGCACUCCGCCUGGGGGAGUACGACCGCAAAGG
rnacentral:rRNA from 1 species